rnacentral:rRNA from 1 species
GAUGAACGCUGGCGGCGUGCCUAAUACAUGCAAGUCGAGCGAACAGACGAGGAGCUUGCUCCUCUGACGUUAGCGGCGGACGGGUGAGUAACACGUGGAUAACCUACCUAUAAGACUGGGAAAACUUCGGGAAACCGGAGCUAAUACCGGAGAAUAUAUUGAACCGCAUGGUGCAAUAGUGAAAGACGGCUUUGGUGUCACUUAUAGAUGGAUCCGCGCCGCAUUAGGUAGUUGGUAAGGUAACGGCCUAUGAAGGCGACGAUGCGUAGCCGAGGUGAGAGACUGAUAGCCCACCCGGGAGCGUGACCGCGGUCCAUAGUCCUGCGGGACGCCGCAGUCGGCAACCUGCCGCAGUGGUGGAGAGCCUUACGGAGUGACGCCACGUGAGUGAUGGCAGUCUCCCGUGCGGGAAACUCUGUUACGAGUGAAAAACAACUUUGGAAGUAACCAUGCAGGUCUUGACGGUACCGAAUCAGAAAGCCCCGGCUAACUACGUG